UACCUGCUUUAGACGAUGUGGUCCUAAUUC
rnacentral:piRNA from 1 species